rnacentral:rRNA from 1 species
UACGGAGGGAGCUAGCGUUAUUCGGAAUUACUGGGCGUAAAGCGCACGUAGGCGGCUUUGUAAGUUAGAGGUGAAAGCCUGGAGCUCAACUCCAGAAUUGCCUUUAAGACUGCAUCGCUUGAAUCCAGGAGAGGUGAGUGGAAUUCCGAGUGUAGAGGUGAAAUUCGUAGAUAUUCGGAAGAACACCAGUGGCGAAGGCGGCUCACUGGACUGGUAUUGACGCUGAGGAGCGAAAGCGUGGGGAGCAAACAGG